rnacentral:rRNA from 1 species
CGGUAAUACGGAGGGUGCGAGCGUUAAUCGGAAUUACUGGGCGUAAAGCGCGCGUAGGCGGUUUGAUAAGCUAGCUGUGAAAGCCCCGGGCUCAACCUGGGAAUUGCAGUUAGAACUGUCCGACUAGAGUACAGUAGAGGGUGGCGGAAUUUCCUGUGUAGCGGUGAAAUGCGUAGAUAUAGGAAGGAACAUCAGUGGCGAAGGCGGCUAUCUGGACUGAUACUGACGCUGAGGUGCUAUAGCGUGGGGAGCAAACAGGAUUAGAUACCCUGGUAGUCCACGCCGUAAACGAUGUCUACUAGCCGUUGGGAGACUUGAUCUUUUAGUGGCGCAGUUAACGCGA